rnacentral:misc_RNA from 1 species
UCCGGCUUAACGCCGGCAGUCUCCCUAGAGUGCCCAACUGAAUGGUGGCAACUAAGGACGAGGGUUGCGCUCGUUGCGGGACUUAACCCAACACCUCACGGCACGAGCUGACGACAGCCAUGCAGCACCUGUCUCCGGUCCAGCCGAACUGAAGAACUCCAUCUCUGGAGUCCGCGACCGGGAUGUCAAGGGCUGGUAAGGUUCUGCGCGUUGCAUCGAAUUAAGCCACAUAUUCCACCGCUUGUGCGGGUCCCCGUCAAUUCCUUUGAGUUUUAACCUUGCGGCCGUACUCCCCAGGCGGUCAACUUCACGCGUUAGCUUCGUUACCAAGGAAUUGCUUCCCCGACAACCAGUUGACAUAGUUUAGGGCGUGGACUAC